UACGAAGGGGGCUAGCGUUGCUCGGAGUUAUUGGGCGUAAAGCGCGCGCAGGCGGCCUCGCGCGCCCGACGUGAAAGCCCCCGGCUUAACCGGGGAGGGUCGUUGGGGACGGCGGGGCUUGAGGGCGGGAGAGGGUGGUGGAAUUCCCGGUGUAGUGGUGAAAUGCGUAGAGAUCGGGAGGAACACCCGUGGCGAAGGCGGCCACCUGGGCCGACCCUGACGCUGAGGCGCGAAGGCGUGGGGAGCGAACGGG
rnacentral:rRNA from 1 species